rnacentral:rRNA from 1 species
AUUGAACGCUGGCGGCAGGCCUAACACAUGCAAGUCGAACGAGUGGCGGACGGGUGAGUAAUGUCUGUGAAACUGCUCGAUGGAGGGGGAUAACUACUGGAAACGGUAGCUAUUACCGCAUACCAUCGGAUGUGCCCAGAUGGGAUUAGCCAGUAGGUGGGGUAAUGGCUCACCUAGGCGACGAUCCCUAGCGGGUCUGAGAGGAUGACCAGCCACACUGGAACUGAGAAACGGUCCAGACUCCUACGGGAGGCAGCAGUGGGGAAUAUUGCACAAUGGGCGCAAGCCUGAUGCAGCCAUGCCGCGUGUGUGAAGAAGGCCUUCGGGUUGUAAAGUACUUUCAGCGAGGAGGCGUUACUCGCAGAAGAAGCACCGGCUAACUCCGUGCCAGCAGCCGCGGUAAUAC